UACGUAGGGUGCGAGCGUUGUCCGGAAUUAUUGGGCGUAAAGGGCUCGUAGGCGGUUUGUCGCGUCGGGAGUGAAAUCCACUGGCUUAACUGGUGGCUUGCUUUCGAUACGGGCAGACUGGAGGUAUGCAGGGGAGAACGGAAUUCCUGGUGUAGCGGUGAAAUGCGCAGAUAUCAGGAGGAACACCGGUGGCGAAGGCGGCUCUCUGGAACGGUACUGACGCUGAGACGCGAAAGCGUGGGGAGCGAACAGG
rnacentral:rRNA from 1 species